GAUGAACGCUGGCGGCGUGCUUAAUACAUGCAAGUCGAACGGAGAUAGUAGCAAUAUUAUCUUAGUGGCGAACGGGUGAGUAACGCGUUGGUGACCUGCCCCGAAGAGAGGGAUAGCAGUUCGAAAGGACUGAUAAUACCUCAUGUGGUUGUUGGUUUUAGAAUCUGACAACUAAACGGAUUUAUUCGCUUCGGGAGGGGCCUGCGUCCCAUCAGCUAGUUGGUAGGGUAAUGGCCUACCAAGGCGAUGACGGGUAGGGGCCCUGAGAGGGUGGCCCCCCACAGUGGAACUGAAACACGGUCCAUUCACCUACGGGGGACAAGAGUAGGGAAUAUGGGUAAUCUGCGAAAGCGGGAACAAGCAACGCCGCGUGAAGGAGGAAGGCCUUCGGGUCGUAAAGUGCUUUUAGAGAGGAUGAGGAAGGACAGUACUUUCUGAAUAGGCCUCGGCUAACUACGUGCAGCAGCCGCCGUAAAAC
rnacentral:rRNA from 1 species